AAAAAACUGAACCAGUUCAAUUCAAUUCGGUUUUCUCCUAAAUCAGUUCAGUCAGGUUCGGUUUGCUCUGCUAUAAAUUUCAGUUUUUCAGUUUUCCAAACCAAAUCAAAUCAACCGAAGCUCACCCCUACUCCCAGACCUUAGAUGCACUGCAAGACAAGACCAAUAGGAAAAUAAAAUGCAAUAAAAUUGGUUUCUUUUGCACAUGCCAACACAACAAAGGGAAAUUAAAAAUAAAUAAAUAAAUA
rnacentral:misc_RNA from 1 species